AUUGUUUUUCCACAGAAGUUAAAUCGGGAAAGCAUAAAGAUUUAUUUCUUUUUAAAUUUAUUUUUGUCCACUCACUCUAAUGGUUUCAAAUGUCUUCCCCUAGGCCCUUCUUUUUAAAAAUGACCAGUCUGCAGAGUUCGGGUUGGAUCUAGUAGGAGACGAGGCAUAGUCACCCGUAUUUCCACCACCUUUCAUCAGUAGGUUAUCUAUUUAACCUACCAGUGUUUUUCUUGCUUCCUCUAGUGUCUAGUAGCUCUGAUUUUUCCUUGGGGAUAUUGUAUAAUAUUAUUUCGGUUGUGGGCGAAGGCUUGAUUACAUUUUAGAAUAUUUCAAGGAAAAAUGUAUGCUAUUUUAGUGGGAUAAUUAUGUGAUGAUCUGGAAGUUGAUCUUUUUUUGUUAUUGGUGGUGGUUGUAUUUGAGGAGCACGUAGGCUCUAGAAGUUAAGGUUGGAUUGAGAAUUUUUAGGAGUGUUUGCAGGUUUUCUUUAGGAAGGGUUGUCCAUUUUCAAAUGAGGUUAUGCCGAAUUUUGGUAAUAUCUUCCUUUGAGGUGGUCCUCGCAGGAUUUACUCCGGGUUUUAGGGUAAAAUUCGGGGUGGAUCUUGACAAAGGCAAUCUCUUGGCAGAUCAAGGCGACCUAUUAACAGCACUAGGCGGGUCAAAGAGGCCACUUGGCGCCCUCGGCAGGUCAAGACGGCCUAUUAGCAGCCCUAGGCGGGUCUCAGUAGUCCCUUGGCGGGUCUAGGCUACCCCUAAUCUUGGUGGUCCCUACGUAGGUCUUAAGUAGGUCUAGACGGGUCUGGACAGCCCUAAGCAGGUCAACGCGGCCAUAAGCGGGUCUCAGCAGCCUUUUAGUGGGUUUAGGUACCCCUAAGCGGGUCUAGAUGGUCCCUACAUGGGUCGUGAGCUAGUCUAGGCGGGUCUUGAUGGCCCUAGACAAGUCAAGGUGCCCCGUUAACGGCCCUAGACAAGUCUAGGCAGCCCCUAAGUUGGUAUAGGUGGGUCAAGCGGUCUCUUGGCAGGUCAAAGCGACUCCUUGGUGGGUCUAGGCUACCCUUAAGAGGGUCUAGCCGGUCUCUACGCGUGUCCUAAACAGGUCUAGGUGGGUCUUGACAACCCUAAGUGGGUCAAGGAGCCCUCUUGGCGGCCCUAGACGUGUCUCGGCAGCCCUUUGGCGGGUCUCGGCGGCCCCUUGGCGGGUCUCGGCGGCCCCUUAGCUUACCUAGGCUACCCCUAAGCUGGUCUAGGCGAUCGCUAAGCGGGUCUAGGUGGUCCCUACGUUGGUCUUGGCGGUCCCUUGGCAGGUCAAGGCGGUCCCUUGGCAGGUCAAAGCGGCCCCUUAGCAUGUCAAGGCAAUCCCUUGGCAGGUCAAGGCGGUCCCUUGGUAGGUCAAGGCGAGUCAAAACGGCCCCUUGGCAUGUCAAGGCGGUCUCUCGGAGGGUCAAGGCGGCUUAAUAGCGGCCCUAGGCGGGUCUUGGCAGCCCCUUGGUGGGUAUAGGCAACCCCUAAGCGGGUCUAGGCAACCCCUAAACGGGUCUAGGUGGCCCCUAAGUGGGUCUUGGCGGACCUAGGCGGGUCUAAACAGUCCCUUGGAGGGUCUUGACGGCCCUAGGCGGUUCAAGGUGGCCCCUUUGGCGGCUCUAAGUGAGUCUCAGUAGCUCCUUGGUAGCCGUAGAUGUGUCUCGGCAGCCCCUUGGUGGGUCUAGGCGGCUCCUAAGCUGGUCUAGGUGGGUCAAGGUGGUCCCUUGGCAGGUCAAAGUGGCCCCUAGGUGACCCUCGGCGGGUCAAGACUGCCCCUUAGCGGCUCUAGACGGAUCUAAACAGUCCCCACGUGGGUCUAGGCUAAAGUGAUAAUAAAUAUUUUAUUUACUUUAUGUUCUUAUUUUUUUAUCCAAACCUUUUAUAUUAAGAAAUCAUGAUAAAUAAGUAUUUCAUAAAUUAACGGAACUUGAAAACCUUGGUUAGAUUAGUGUUUACGAGUUUUGGAUGAUUUUAUUUCAAAUCCCUUACUUUAGCACAUGAUUUUUUUCGUCAAAAUUGAAUUUUCUUAUUUUUUAACCAAACCUUUUUUAGUAUGAAAUCAUGACAAAUAAAUAUUUCUCAAAUUGACGGAACUCGAAAACUUAAAUCGGAUUAGUGUAUAUGAGUUUCGCUUAAUUUCAGUUAAAAUCCCUUGCUAUAACACACAAUUUUUCGUUAAAAGAGAAUAUUCUUAUUUUUCCACCAAACUUUUUCAGUUAUCAAAUAAUGAUAAAUAAGUACUUCUCGAACUGACGAAAGUCGAAAUCCUUACGAGUUUUGCUUGAUUUCAGUUAAAAUCCCUUACUAUUCCGUCAAAAUUCAAUGCUCUUAUUUUUUAACCAAACCUUUUCUAGUAUGAAAUCAUGACAAAUAAGUACUUUUCGGACUGACGGAACUAGAAAAUCUCAAUCAGAUUACUGUAUAUGAGUUUCGCUUGAUUUCAGUUAAAAUCUCUUGUAGCACACAGGUUUUUGGCAGAUUUCACUUUUUUUGGACUUUUGGUUUUUUUCUAUUCGUGUGUGUUUAUAGACACCUCAUAACAUCUUUUGAACCAUUAUAGCAUCAAAAGUCAUUGGCUUUUAUCAUUUGAGUCACAAAUCAAAUUUAAACGAUCCACGCGUGCCGUGUUUUGUAAAGCUGUUGUAAUUGUUGUUUUCAGGUUUUAUAAUUGAAUAUCAAAGCUUCUGUUGUCUUCUAUUACGCUCCUACCAACCUCAGGAACCUCAAUUUUGAAAACAAAUUACGUUUUACCCGUCCCUUCAAGUUUAACCUAGUUCCAGCCUGUCACACCCCGGUCCCGGCGUCGGCGGGUUUUAAGCACCGGACGUCGAUUCCGAGGCAUGAACGAGUGUUACAAAACAGAAUAAAAUAAAAGCACUAUCUUCUAGGCUCGUCGGCUACCUUUUCCCGGCUCGAUCAAAUCUAAGUACUUCUCUGCAAAAAAAAUAUUAGAGAUGGGUGGGUGAGCAUAACCACGCGCUCAGUGAGUAGACUAAUGUAAUAUGCCCGCAAAGCCAUGUCAUUUUACACACGCUACAAAAUAUGUAUAUCGUAUACACAUCGAGUCACACAAUUCAUCACAUCGCACAAUCCCUUCUUAUUGGAUAUCCUUCAAUUUAGUGAUCCCCACGGGAACCUAAUGACCUUCAAGUCCUAUACCUCCGUGUGUCACAUCCUUACUUCGGCAUAACCAAUCAAGAAGUUCACAUGUUCCAUGAUUAGUCAAACAAUGGAUCCAACACAUAAUAAUAUAUAAAACUCCACAUAUUUCGCAAAUCGACAUGCUUCACUAUAAAAAGAGAGAUAUUUCGUAAAAGAUCAAAAUCAUGUUUUUCGACUAAUUUGAUAGCAAAUAAGAAUAUUUGAAACAUAUUACAAAAAUCUACUCACCUCGUUAAUACGAACCCCUACCAAGAACGUCGAUCGUAAACCGAGCCUCCUAAAACGAGCCAUCUAGAAAUCACCAUUGGAUGCUCAAACCUCUAGGAUAGGAAGAGGACAUCGAUACGAACCCGUAACACUUCGCGGAUUCAGAAUCAGACUUACGGAUCAAAAGUUAUGAUCCGCCGAACUUUAAGUCGUAAAAACCCUAUAAAAAGAAAAUGUACAGAGACAUUUGAAGAGAGAGAGAGAGAGAGAGUAUAGAGAGCAGCUGCUAAUUAUACCUCUAUAUAUAGGAGAAUAGGCCGACAUUUGAAGGGUCGGUUAAGGUUGUUGGCCCAAUUGAAAAUGGACACUAGUCCAUUAAAGAAGAAACCAACUCCAUCACUUGACAAGUUUCCUAUGACUUGCAAUUGUAGCUGCAACUGACGCAGCUCUCAUCUCCUCACAGCCGACCAAGUGAAGCCAAGUGUCACUAAACAACCACUAAAAUGCUGCCACAUCAACACAACGGAUUAACUUCAACGAAACUUCGAAAAAUCGAUAAAAAUAGCUCAGGAACUCAAAAAAAUUCAUCGAAAAAUACGACGAACUUGUCGCGACCUCUAUUUUCUAAUUUUAAGAAGAAAAACACAUUUUUAAGAAAUUUCAAAAUUCAGGAUGUUACAAUCUACCCUCCUAACAAGAAUUUCGUCCCCGAAAUUCAACACACCUUCAAAAACCAAAAACACUUAUGACUCUACGCUAAGAUGCUAGAAUCCUAAUCUACCACAGAUCUUGGGGUUCUAAUUCUUGGUUUGUUCUGAUACCAUUCUGUCACACCCCGGUCCCGGCGUCGGCGGGUUCUAAGCACCAGACGCCUAUUCCGAGGCAUGAACGAGUUACAAAGCGGAAUAAAAUAAAAGCACUAUCUUCUAGGCUCGUCGGCUACCCUUUCUCGGCUCGAUCAAAUCUAAGUAUUUGUCUGCAAAAAAAAUAUUAGAGAUGGAUGGGUGAGCAUAAUCACGCGCUCAAUGAGUAGACCAAUGUAAUAUGCCCGCAAAGCCAUGUCAUUUUACACACGCUACAAAAUACGUAUAUUGUAUACACAUCGAGUCACACAAUUUAUCACAUCACACAAUCCAUUCUUAUUGGAUAUCUUUCAAUUUAGUGAUCCCCACGGGAACCUAAUGACCUUCAAGUCCUAUACCUUCGUGUGUCACAUCCUUACUUUGGCAUAACCAAUCAAGAAGUUCACAUGUUCCAUGACUAGUCAAACAAUGGAUCCAACACAUAAUAAUAUAUUAAACUCCAUAUAUUUCGCAAAUCGAAAUCGACAUGCUUCACUAUAAAAAGAGAGAUAUUUCGUAAAAGAUCAAAAUCAUGUUUUUCGACUAAUUUGAUAGCAAAUAAGAAUAUUUGAAACAUAUUACAAAAAUCUACUCACCUCAUUAAUACGAACCCCCACCAAGAACGUCGAUCGUAAACCGAGCCUUCUAAAAUGAUCCAUCUAGAAAUCACCAUUGGAUCUAGCUCAAACCUCUAGGAUAGGAAGAGGACAUCGAUACGAACCCGUAACACUUCACGGAUUCAGAAUCGGAGUUACGGAUCAAAAGUUAUGAUCCGCCGAACUUUAAGUCGUAAAAACCUUAUAAAAAGAAAAUGUACAGAGACAUUUGAAGAGAGAGAGAGAGAGUAUAGAGAGCAGCUGCUAAUUAUACCUCUAUAUAUAAGAGAAUAGGCCGACAUUUGAAGGGUAGGUUAAGGUUGUUGGCCCAAUUGAAAAUGGACACUAGUCCAUUAAAGAAGAAACCAACUCCAUCACUUGACAAGUUUCCUAUGAUUCUUGCAAUUGUAGCUGCAACUGACGUAGCUCUCAUCUCCUCACAGCCGACCAAGUGAAGCCAAGUGUCACUAAACAACCACUAAAAUUCUGCCACAUCAACACAACGGAUUAACUUCAAUGAAAUUUCGAAAAAUUAUUAAAAAUAGUUCAGAAACUCAGAAAAAUUCACCGAAAAAUACGGCGAACUUGUGGCGAUCUCUAUUUUCUAAUUCUAAGAAGGAAAACACAUUUUUAAGAAAUUUCAAAAUUCAGGAUGUUACAAAGCCAAAGCCAAAUCCCCUUGCUAUAUGCACAUGGGUUUUUGUCAGAUUUCAUCUUUUUUGGACCUCUGGUUUUUUCUAUUCAUGUGUGUUUAUAGACACCUCAUAACAUUUUUUGAACCAUUAUAGGAUCAAAAGCUUGUGGGUUUUAUCAUUUUACUUUAGAAUCGAGCUUAAACGACCCACAGUACGUGUGUCGUGUUUUGUA
rnacentral:lncRNA from 1 species